rnacentral:miRNA from 1 species
UCACCGGGUAAAAAUUUGGCAC